rnacentral:rRNA from 1 species
UACUCCUACGGGAGGCAGCAGUGGGGAAUAUUGCGCAAUGGACGAAAGUCUGACGCAGCGACGCCGCGUGUAGGAUGACGCCUUUCGGGGUGUAAACUACUGUUGCCCGGGACGAAACCCUCCUUUCGAGGAGAUUGACGGUACCGGGUGAGGAAGCACCGGCUAACUCUGUGCCAGCAGCCGCGGUAAUA